rnacentral:tRNA from 1 species
GACAUGUGCCCGAAAGCUAGGGCUUACCUUGAUAGGGUAAUCUAUAUGGGUUCAAACCCCAUCAC